UUAUGGCUCAGGAUGAACGCUAGCUACAGGCUUAACACAUGCAAGUCGAGGGGCAGCAUUGGAGUAGCAAUACUCAGAUGGCGACCGGCGCACGGGUGAGUAACACGUAUCCAACCUGCCGCUUACUCGGGGAUAGCCUUUCGAAAGAAAGAUUAAUACCCGAUGGUAUAAAGAGUUCGCAUGUUCUCUUUAUUAAAGAAUUUCGGUAAGCGAUGGGGAUGCGUUCCAUUAGAUAGUUGGCGGGGUAACGGCCCACCAAGUCUACGAUGGAUAGGGGUUCUGAGAGGAAGGUCCCCCACAUUGGAACUGAGACACGGUCCAAACUCCUACGGGAGGCAGCAGUGAGGAAUAUUGGUCAAUGGACGAGAGUCUGAACCAGCCAAGUAGCGUGAAGGAUGACUGCCCUAUGGGUUGUAAACUUCUUUUAUAAGGGAAUAAAGUGAGGGACGUGUCCCUUUUUGUAUGUACCUUAUGAAUAAGGAUCGGCUAACUCCGUGCCAGCAGCAGC
rnacentral:rRNA from 1 species